AUUGAACGCUGGCGGCAGGCCUAACACAUGCAAGUCGAACGAGUGGCGGACGGGUGAGUCAUGUCUGGGAAACUGCCCGAUGGAGGGGGAUAACUACUGGAAACGGUAGCUAAUACCGCAUACCAUCGGAUGUGCCCAGAUAGGAUAAGCUAGUAGGUGGGGUAACGGCUCACCUAGGCGACGAUCCCUAGCUGAUCUGAGAGGAUGACCAGCAACACUGGAUCUGAGAGACGGUACAGAAGAAAACGGGAGGCAGCAGUGGGGAAUAUUGAACAAUGGGCGCAAGCCUGAUGCAGCGAUGCCGCGGGUAUGAAGAAGGCCUUCGGGUUGUAAGGUGCUUUAAGCGAGGAGGCGUUACUCGCAGAAGGAGCACCGGCUAACUCCGUGCCAGCAGCCGCGGUAAUAC
rnacentral:rRNA from 1 species